GGGGGGGGGGGGGGGGGGGGCUGAGGCAUGCGAGGCGGGCGGACAGGCGGGGAGCUUGCGCCUCUGACGGGAGCGGCGGACGGGGGAGUAACACGUGGAUAACCUACCUAUAAGACUGGGAUAACUUCGGGAAACCGGAGCUAAUACCGGAUAAUAUAUUGAACCGCAUGGUUCAAUAGUGAAAGACGGUUUUGCUGUCACUUAUAGAUGGAUCCGCGCCGCAUUAGCUAGUUGGUAAGGUAACGGCUUACCAAGGCAGCGAUGCGUAGCCGACCUGAGAGGGUGAUCGGCCACACUGGAACUGAGACACGGUCCAGACUCCUACGGGAGGCAGCAGUAGGGAAUCUUCCGCAAUGGGCGAAAGCCUGACGGAGCAACGCCGCGUGAGUGAUGAAGGUCUUCGGAUCGUAAAACUCUGUUAUUAGGGAAGAACAAAUGUGUAAGUAACUAUGCACGUCUUGACGGUACCUAAUCAGAAAGCCACGGCUAACUACGUG
rnacentral:rRNA from 1 species